rnacentral:rRNA from 1 species
UACAGAGGGUGCGAGCGUUACUCGGAAUUACUGGGCGUAAAGCGUGCGUAGACGGCUAUCUAAGUCGGGUGUGAAAGCCCCGGGCUCAACCUGGGAAUUGCAUUCGAGACUGAAUAGCUAGGGUACGGUAGAGGGAAGUGGAAUUUCCGGUGGAGCGGUGAAAUGCGUAGAUAUCGGAAGGAACAUCAGUGGCGAAAGCGACUUCCUGGACCAGUACCGACGUUCAGGCACGAAAGCGUGGGGAGCAAACAGG